UACGGGGGGGGGCAAGCGUUGUUCGGAAUUACUGGGCGUAAAGGGCUCGUAGGCGGCCAACUAAGUCGGACGUGAAAUCCCUCGGCUUAACCGGGGAACUGCGUCCGAUACUGGAUGGCUUGAGUUUGGGAGAGGGAUGCGGAAUUCCAGGUGUAGCGGUGAAAUGCGUAGAUAUCUGGAGGAACACCGGUGGCGAAGGCGGCAUCCUGGACCAACACUGACGCUGAGGAGCGAAAGCCAGGGGAGCAAACGGGG
rnacentral:rRNA from 1 species